GAUUCGGGGUGCACCAGGCGCGAAAACUUUACAAUGCCGACAACGGCGAUAAGGGAACCUCGAGUGCCAGGUUACAAAUCUGGCUGUCGUGAUGCCUAAAAAGCAUUGCAUAGCAAGGGCCGGGCAAGACCGGUGCCAGCCGCCGCGGUAACACCGGCGGCUCGAGUGGUAACCGUUAUUAUUGGGUCUAAAGGGUCUGUAGCCGGCCGGAUAAGUCUCUUGGGAAAUCUGGCAGCUUAACUGUCAGGCUUUCAGGAGAUACUGUCUGGCUCGAGGCCGGGAGAGGUGAGAGGUACUUCAGGGGUAGGGGUGAAAUCUUGUAAUCCUUGAAGGACCACCAGUGGCGAAGGCGUCUCACCAGAACGGACCUGACGGCAAGGGACGAAAGCUAGGGGCACGAACCGGAUUAGAUACCCGGGUAGUCCUAGCCGUAAACGAUACUCGCUAGGUGUCGGCCACGGUGCGACCGUUGUCGGUGCCGUAGGGAAGCCGUGAAGCGAGCCACCUGGGAAGUACGGCCGCAAGGCUGAAACUUAAAGGAAUUGGCGGGGGAGCACAAUCACUAGUGAAU
rnacentral:rRNA from 1 species